GACGAACGCUGGCGGCGUGCUUAACACAUGCAAGUCGAACGGAAAGGCCCUGCUUUUGUUGGGUGCUCGAGUGGCGAACGGGUGAGUAACACGUGAGUAACCUGCCCUUGACUUUGGGAUAACUCCUGGAAACUGGGGCUAAUACCGGAUAGGAGCUCCUGCUGCAUGGUGGGGGUUGGAAAGUUUCGGCGGUUGUGGCUCGACUCGCGGCUUAUCAGCUUGUUGGUGGGGUAGUGGAGUACAAAGGCUUUGACGGGUAGCCGGCCUGAGAGGGUGAACGGCGACAAUGGUCCUGAGAGACGGCGCAGACGGGUACGGGACGCAGCAGUGGGGAAUAUUGCGCAAUGGGCGGAAGCCUGAUGCGGCAACGCCGCGUGCGUGAUGCCGGCCUACGGGUGGUAAACCGAUGUCGACUGUGCCGAACCGUGCGUGACGGUACUUGGUAAAGAAGCACCGCCUAACUACGUG
rnacentral:rRNA from 1 species